UGUUUAGCAGCACAUGUCUUUGUGUUCUCAUUUUAGUCCAGCCAUACAGUAUUUUGGCACAGCUCCCCUGAGACCAACACAAACGAUGGAAAGAUUCCAUGGCGGGUGUGAAAUCACAUGACUGAAACUUGAUAAUCCUUUCCACCGGCUGGCUGAACUCACAGAGCUAGACAACAUCAACAUGCUUCCUACCCUCCUCACCACCAUGCUUUUUACAAUGGGAUCAGACGCUGUCCCUUAUGCCAUCUUAUCUCCACCAUUUCACUUGAACACUGAUCUCAGAGGCUUGACCAUCCUGGUGUGUGUGCUUCAUGACAUUCAUCAAUGAGAGCUGGAGGUCACCUGGAUUUCUAGUGGCACCAGAGGAACUAAUCCAGCAGUCCCUACCUUACUCCAAGGACACAGUGGCAUUCAGAGCACAAUGUCUGUUAUAUCUGUGCCCACGAGUGAAUGGAUGUCCUACACCUGCUUUGUGAGUCACAGAGACUCCGAUCAACUCGUGCACAGACAUUAUGCUGGACUCCCAAUGGAGACAACUGCUCUCAGAAUGAUCCUCCUCAAAAUCACCAUUUUCAACGUUUUGAUGACAGUGCAAGCCGUCAUAAAGUGAGUUUCAAAAACAACUGCCAUGGAUGUCAGAGUUAAUUGGACGUGCUGUUGGAGGUUUAUAGCAGGAGGAGGAAUUCCAGCUGAUGUAAAUGAGAAUCUGGAAUGUUGAUGAGGGUCUCGAUGAACUUCAGAGCAACAUCACGCCACAAGACGCAGGUGCUUCGAUAUGUGGGCAGAUGAGUGAGAUAGCUGCUCAAAACCACAUCAUGUACACAAUACAACAAAUGCACUGCACUACAAGCUGCUUUUGUAGGCCAUUGUCAAAAAUAAAAGCUUUAAAUGGCAUUGUAAAGUCAGCUUCCACUAAUGUGACACUGUUGAACUCUUGAACGUGACAAUGAUGAACCUUUGAUGAAACUGUCUGUAUGGCAUGAAUGAGAUCAUUGUGCAUAACACUCUAUCAAAGAUUGAGACAGUUUCAUU